CUUGAAGGAAUUAGCCCUCACCUUGUAUGUGGAUGUGCUCGAGGAUUUAAUAAAUAAUCCUGGGACUGGAUUUCCUUGCUGCUGUUGCUGAGACUGAGUCGCCGUGGUGUUGGUCUGGUUGGUGAGCCUUUCUCUGCCUUUCGAGCGUUUGCCCUUCCAAUUCAGCACUGCUUGACAGCGGCAGAUCCAAUAAAAGCACCCGCAAGGAUUGACCUACAGCCUUUACAGACGUCAAUGCAAAUGAGCUGAAGGGGGCGAAUCAGCAACUGCAGGCCCACGGCUGGGGGGAACCAGGUAGAAGAGGGAACUUCAAACAAAUCUUCAUGACUUGUAUACAAGAAAGAGAGAGUCUUACACUGGUGGCAGAGGUGGGAUAAUUAAAACCAGGACAUCACCUUACCGCCCUAUGUCUGAUGGGAUGGUGGAACGUGCGAACAGAUCAAGGAUCAAUUGGCAAAAAUCCUGUAUGAUAAAGGUGGAAAAUGGGAACAAAACAUCAGCCAAGUAGAACUUGCUUACAACACCCCAAGCACACCCCAUUCUUCCUGGGUCACGGACGAGAAGCAAAACUGCCAACAAAUGUGUUCCUCGAUGGUGCCUUUUCAUCACCAAAGGCUACAAAAGGCACUCCAGGAGUACGGUGCAACACUGGUGAGAAAGCUACACUCGUCUUUUAAAACAGUGAAUGAAAACAGUGACAAAUGGGCAAAUCAAAAGCUCUAUUAUGACUUGUGUGGAUUGAUGACUCAGCUAUGCCUCGUAAUAAGCUUUCACCACAUUGGAAAGGACUGUACAAAGUACUCAAACGAAUGGAUGCCAGCAGCAGAGAAACAGAAGUGAAUUAUGAACUUCAGAACUUCCAACCUACAGACUGUUCUACAGCCAUAUAGAGGACAACACAGGUGGGGCAGCAGCCUCACUAUCUUAAAGACAUGUUGCUUUAUUAAGAGAUGUUCUUUUUCAUAUGGACUGCAAAGGGCAUGUUUGUUAAUUUUGUUGUUUUGUUCUCUGUUGUAUAUCACGUUUCUAGUUUUUUUUUUUUUUUUUAAAGAAAUAAGUCACUUAUUUGCAUAAUAAAUUGUAGAUCAAGUUCAUCUAAUGGAUGCUUUGCUGUUCCCUUUACAAACGAGGAAGCUUCUUCCAACAAAUGGGGAAGUGUAUGUAAGAAUUAUUCCUGUUAAAGGUUUUUAUAAUGUUUAGCUGGACAUUCUGUCCUUGUGGAGCCACAGCAGAGUAGGGAGGAGCGAGCAAAGGAGAAAAUAGAGGAGAAGGCGAGAGGAGUAGGAUUGUGAGAUGUGUUUAGAAUGACCACUGCUAUUUAAAUGACUGCAAGUUGUUUGUAUUAAUAAAACACCGUCUUUGAACCCAAUCGA